GCCGGAGUGGCGAAACGGCAGCCGCAGCGGACUUAAAAUCCGCGGAAGCGCGAGCUUCGUGGGGGUUCGAGUCCCCCCUCCGGCA
rnacentral:tRNA from 1 species